UUUUAGCCCUGAUUGAAGCAUUUGUUUGAGCUCUUUUUUUGAUUUUUCUUCAAAAAAAAGCGAGUGCGAAAAGCGGGAAAUAGC
rfam:Tenacibaculum soleae strain TCD-KL19 scaffold_1, whole genome shotgun sequence.